AGAGAUCAUGGCUCAGAUUGAACGCUGGCGGCAUGCCUUACACAUGCAAGUCGAACGGCAGCACGGGAGCAAUCCUGGUGGCGAGUGGCGAACGGGUGAGUAAUACAUCGGAACGUGCCCAGUAGUGGGGGAUAGCCCGGCGAAAGCCGGAUUAAUACCGCAUACGACCUACGGGUGAAAGCGGGGGAUCGCAAGACCUCGCGCUAUCGGAGCGGCCGAUGUCAGAUUAGCUAGUUGGUGGGGUAAAAGCCUACCAAGGCGACGAUCUGUAGCUGGUCUGAGAGGACGACCAGCCACACUGGGACUGAGACACGGCCCAGACUCCUACGGGAGGCAGCAGUGGGGAAUUUUGGACAAUGGGCGCAAGCCUGAUCCAGCCAUGCCGCGUGCGGGAAGAAGGCCUUCGGGUUGUAAACCGCUUUUGUCAGGGAAGAAACGCUCAGAGCUAAUACCUCGGAGUAGUGACGGUACCUGAAGAAUAAGCACCGGCUAACUACGUGCCAGCAGCCGCGGUAAUACGUAGGGUGCAAGCGUUAAUCGGAAUUACUGGGCGUAAAGCGUGCGCAGGCGGCUUUGCAAGACAGAUGUGAAAUCCCGGGGCUUAACCUGGGAACUGCAUUUGUGACUGCAUGGCUGGAGUGCGGCAGAGGGGGAUGGAAUUCCGCGUGUAGCAGUGAAAUGCGUAGAUAUGCGGAGGAACACCGAUGGGGCAAGGCCAUCCCCUGGGCCUGCACUGACGCUCAUGCACGAAAGCGUGGGAGCAAACAGGAUUACAUACCUGGGUAGUCCACGCCCUAACGA
rnacentral:rRNA from 1 species